AAGUCGUAACAAGGUUUCCGUAGGUGAACCUGCGGAAGGAUCAUUACAAAUGGAAUAAUCCAUAUACCUUUGUGUUACUCUUAGAAGAUGAUGUUUCAUCUUUUUUUAAUGAUUUAUUAUACAAUAGUUUUUUUAAUUUAAUACAACUGUUGGCAAUGGAUCACUUGGUUCUGGUUUCGAUGAAGA
rnacentral:misc_RNA from 1 species